GUGGCUUGAGCCUUGACACUUUUAUUCUGAGGUUCCAGCUAGCCCUAAGCAGGAAUUUCUGAGAUGGAUAUGUCUCAUUGAUCUUGGAUUUGAUCUGCAGCUAUAAGUUACAAAAGAGGGAGGUCUUACUGUGAAAUACAUCAGAAUGCUAAAUAUCUGGAUAUCUUAAAUCUCAGAUGAGCGUCUUAGCCUCUGGAUUACUGCUCAAUGAGGAAAGCUAUGAAAUGCAUGGAUAACUUGCUAAUCAGUAUUUGCCAUAUGUGCUAGCAGCAUCAGCAUCAGUUGGGAGAUUAUGGUGGCCUCCAUGUCAGACCUCCUAAAUCGGAAUAUCAGAGAAGGUGGCCCAGGUUACCAUGCUUCAUCUGCCAAUGCAUUGAAAACUUGGAAUGUAAAUUAAUUCAACCAUUGUGGAAGAUGGUGUAGUGAUUCCUCAAAGACCUAGAAGCAGAAAUAUCAUUUGAUCCAGAAAUCCCAUUACUGUGUAUACACCCAAAGGAAUAUAAACCAUUCUAUUACAAAGAUACAUGCUUUUCGCAGGUUUUGUGGGUGAAGAUGUCCUC
rnacentral:lncRNA from 1 species